rnacentral:rRNA from 1 species
GACGAACGCUGGCGGCGCGCCUAACACAUGCGAGUCGAACGAGCGAGAGAGAGCUUGCUUUCUCGAGCGAGUGGCGAACGGGUGAGUAACGCGUGAGGAACCUGCCUCAAAGAGGGGGACAACAGUUGGAAACGACUGCUAAUACCGCAUAAGCCCACGGCUCGGCAUCGAGCAGGGGGAAAAGGAGCAAUCCGCUUUGAGAUGGCCUCGCGUCCGAUUAGCUAGUUGGUGGGGUAACGGCCCACCAAGGCGACGAUCGGUAGCCGGACUGAGAGGUUGAACGGCCACAUUGGGACUGAGACACGGCCCAGACUCCUACGGGAGGCAGCAGUGGGGAAUAUUGCACAAUGGGGGAAACCCUGAUGCAGCGACGCCGCGUGGAGGAAGAAGGUCUUCGGAUUGUAAACUCCUGUUGUUCGGGAAGAUAAUGACGGUACCCAACAAGGAAGUGACGGCUAACUACGUG